rnacentral:rRNA from 1 species
UACGUAGGGUCCGAGCGCUGUCCGGAUUUAUUGGGCGUAAAGAGCUCGUAGGCGGCUCAGUAAGUCAGGUGUGAAAACUCCAGGCUCAACCUGGAGACGCCACUUGAUACUGCUGUGGCUAGAGUCCGGUAGGGGAGCAUGGAAUUCCUGGUGUAGCGGUGAAAUGCGCAGAUAUCAGGAGGAACACCAGUGGCGAAGGCGGUGCUCUGGGCCGGAACUGACGCUGAGGAGCGAAAGCGUGGGGAGCAAACAGG